CCUACGGGAGGCAGCAGUGGGGAAUAUUGGGCAAUGGAGGCAACUCUGACCCAGCAACGCCGCGUGAGCGAUGAAGGUCUUCGGAUUGUAAAGCUCUGUCGCAGGGGACGAAGUAUGACGGUACCCUGUAAGAAAGCCCCGGCAAACUACGUGCCAGCAGCCGCGGUAAUACGUAGGGGGCUAGCGUUGUCCGGAAUUACUGGGCGUAAAGGGAGUGUAGACGGCUUGUCAAGUUAUAUGUGAAAGCCCGCGGCUUAACCGUGGAACUGCAUAUAAAACUGACUCGCUAGAGUGCAGGAGAGGUGAGCGGAAUUCCUAGUGUAGCGGUGGAAUGCGUAGAUAUUAGGAGGAACACCAGAGGCGAAGGCGGCUCACUGGACUGUAACUGACGUUGAGGCUCGAAAGCGUGGGGAGCAAACAGGAUUAGAUACCCCAGUAG
rnacentral:rRNA from 1 species